AUUGAACGCUGGCGGCAUGCCUUGCACAUGCAAGUCGAACGGUAACAGGUCUUCGGAUGCUGACGAGUGGCGAACGGGUGAGUAAUACAUCGGAACGUGCCUAGUAGUGGGGGAUAACUACUCGAGAGAGUGGCUAAUACCGCAUGAGAUCUACGGAUGAAAGCAGGGGAUCGCAAGACCUUGUGCUACUAGAGCGGCCGAUGGCAGAUUAGGUAGUUGGUGGGAUAAAAGCUUACCAAGCCGACGAUCUGUAGCUGGUCUGAGAGGACGAUCAGCCACACUGGGACUGAGACACGGCCCAGACUCCUACGGGAGGCAGCAGUGGGGAAUUUUGGACAAUGGGCGAAAGCCUGAUCCAGCAAUGCCGCGUGCAGGAUGAAGGCCUUCGGGUUGUAAACUGCUUUUGUACGGAACGAAAAGCCCCGGGUUAAUACCCUGGGGUCAUGACGGUACCGUAAGAAUAAGCACCGGCUAACUACGUGCCAGCCGCCGCAGUAA
rnacentral:rRNA from 1 species